UUGAGAUUCCUACAUUGUGUACAGUUUUUGUCGGGAAAAACGGAAAUUCCCGGUUUUCUGAGUGAUCCGCAGACAUUUUACUGUGCGAAUUUGAUUAUGACCAAGUUAUUCGGGUUAAUUCAUAACGAUUGAUCCAAUGUGACAACAAAUCGAUGAUAUGUGAAUGGAAUCCGCCGGAUGAUAAAUGCAUUAGUGUAGUCGCGUGAAAUUCAUGUCAGCUUGCGUGUGUAACUGCAUGUGACAUUUAUUAUAUCAAAAUUGAAGCAGGCAAGUCGGAGCACUAGAGCACUGUCACAUUCACCCUUGAACGAAAGCUCCAGCCGUUCGGAACCAUUCGGCAGCGGUUUUCUCGAAUGUCAACCUGAAGGAAGUAAAUCAUAUGUGCUCACUUAAUGCCGGAACGUAUCAGGACAGUUCGGCUCUUGGAACCGAAUAUUCAGUUAUUCUUGGUACAAUUAAUGAAAUUCAAAAGCUGCACAUUCGAACGGUACAAAUAGGAACAGGAAGCUUCUCAAUAGUUUGGUGUUAUAACGGUGCGAAUGAAUCUUCAGGACUCGAGUGGUCUGACUCCUUCGAGACAGAGCACGUGACUCAGACGACAAAUGUAACUUACUCGAGCAGCAUGGCAAUGCUUAAGCCAGGAGCCAGCAGUGCCGAGUUUGGUCAAGAAGUUGAAAUUCACAAUCUACUUAUCAUCGAUCAGAAUACGUUCGAGUUGCACAUGCACAUCAAUUCAUGCAAACGAAGUAUACUAUGUCACUGAUUUCGGCGAAGUUGGGUAACGACUCGAAUACUUAUUGCAUCGUCGGCACAGCACUGGUACAUCAAGCGGAACCGGAACCCAAAGUAGGAAGGAUUAUCAUCUAUCACUACGCGGAUGGAGCCCUCACUCAAGUUAGCGAGAAGGGAAUCAAGGGCGCGUGCUAUUCUCUCAUUGAGUUUAACCGUCGUGUAUUAGCUAGCAUCAAUUCAACUGUACGAUUGUAACCAUUUCAUUAACGUGUUGGCAUUAUAUUGUAAAACCAAGGGCGACUUCAUUUUAGUGGGUGAUUUGAUGCGAUCUGUCACGCUGGAGGUAAUUUUGAGGAGAUCGCUCGCGACUAUUAACCAAAUUGGAUGACAGUGAUUUCCUCGGGCGGAUAACAGAACAAUUUAUUUGUUUGCCUAAAAGAUGGGUAAGGCCGCAGCAACGGACGACGAACGAUAGCAAGUACCAAAGGUUGCUCAAUGCGAUCUCGGUGAUAUGGUCAAUGUAUUCCGCCACGGUUCGCUCGUGAUGCAAAACUUUGGUGAGCGAACGACGGCGACAACGGGUUGUGUGCUUUUUGGCAUAGUCAGCGAUGCAAUUGGGAAAUUUGACUGACACAAUCAAAUCUGUUGAAAAUUGCAGAUCGACGUGGAUGGAACUAAUAAGGAAGCGGCCGUACAUGAUAUAAUCAAGAUUAACAUGGAUACAUCAGGAUGUCCAGUGUUGAUCAUUAUUAUUGAAUGGAUGCUAUCAGUUGUUUUCUGGUUGACAAAACGAGAAGUUACAAAUUUUUCUAAAAAAGUUGAUUAAUAAAUCAACUCAUUCAAAGAAAUGUUCGAACUGGCUGCUGGACGAAGAUCGUGCAAGGUCAUGAAUUUCAGCAAUGGUCGCGAAAAAUAAUUUCAUGUUUGUAGGGUAAUAAAGAAAUUUC